rnacentral:rRNA from 1 species
CACUGUUGCCUUAUCUUGGAAGCUAAAAGUCAGGCCUGAGUAGUGCUUUGGUGGGAGACCACUUGGGAAUACCGAAUGCUGCAGAGA